CCUACGGGGCGCAGCAGGCGCGAAACCUUUACACUGCACGCAAGUGCGAUAAGGGGACUCCGAGUGCGAGGGCAUAUCGUCCUCGCUUUUCUGUACCGUAGGGCGGUACAGGAACAAGGACUGGGCAAGACCGGUGCCAGCCGCCGCGGUAAUACCGGCAGUCCAAGUGAUGGCCAAUCUUAUUGGGCCUAAAGCGUCCGUAGCCGGCCUCGAAAGUCCGUCGGGAAAUCCACUGGCUCAACCAGUGGGCGUCCGGCGGAAACUUCGAGGCUUGGGACCGGAAGGCUCGAGGGGUACGUCCGGGGUAGGAGUGAAAUCCUGAAUCCCGGACGGACCACCGAUGGCGAAAGCCCUCGAGAAGACGGAUCCGACGGUGAGGGACGAAAGCUAGGGUCUCGAACCGGAUUAGAUACCCGGGUAGUCCUAGCCGUAAACGAUGUCCGCUAGGUGUGGC
rnacentral:rRNA from 1 species